rnacentral:ncRNA from 1 species
AUAAAAGGGAAUGAAGUUCUCCCUUGACCGAAUGGUCAGAACCGCUUAUUCAGGCUGAUGACUUCUGCA